rnacentral:rRNA from 1 species
CACGUAGGGCGCAAGCGUUGUCCGGAAUUAUUGGGCCUAAAGCAUCCGUAGCCGGUUCUACAAGUCUUCCGUUAAAUCCACCUGCUUAACAGAUGGGCUGCGGAAGAUACUAUAGAGCUAGGAGGCGGGAGAGGCAAGCGGUACUCGAUGGGUAGGGGUAAAAUCCGUUGAUCCAUUGAAGACCACCAGUGGCGAAGGCGGCUUGCCAGAACGCGCUCGACGGUGAGGGAUGAAAGCUGGGGGAGCAAGCCGG